UGAGGAAUAUUGGUCAAUGGGCGAGAGCCUGAACCAGCCAAAUCGCGUGAAGGAAGACUGCCUUAUGGGUUGUAAACUUCUUUUAUACAGGAAUAAAAAAGGGGACGUGUCCCUUAUUGCAUGUACUGUAUGAAUAAGCAUCGGCUAACUCCGUGCCAGCAGCCGCGGUAAUACGGAGGAUGCGAGCGUUAUCCGGAUUUAUUGGGUUUAAAGGGUGCGCAGGCGGGCUUUUAAGUCAGCGGUGAAAUCUCGGGGCUUAACUCCGAAACUGCCGUUGAAACUGGGAGUCUUGAGUAUGGAUGAAGUAGGCGGAAUUCGUUGUGUAGCGGUGACAUGCUUAGAUAUAACGAGGAACUCCGAUUGCGUAGGCAGCUUACUAAGCCAUAACUGACGCUCAAGCACGAAAGCGUGGGGAUCAAACAGGAUUAGAUACCCCUGGUAGUCCACGCCGUAAACGAUGAUUACUAGUUGUAUGCGAUAUACCGUAUGUGACUAAGCGAAAGCGAUAAGUAAUCCACCUGGGGAGUACGCCGGCAACGGUGAAACUCAAAUGAUUGACGGGGUCAUAGCUGUUUCCUG
rnacentral:rRNA from 1 species